rnacentral:rRNA from 1 species
UUUUGCAUAUUCCAAAACGGAGGAAAAGAAACCAACAGGGAUUGCCCCAGUAACGGCGAGUGAAGCGGCAACAGCUCAAAUUUGAAAUCUGGCCCCUAGGGUCCGAGUUGUAAUUUGUAGAGGAUGCUUUUGGUGAGGUGCCGCCCGAGUUCCCUGGAACGGGACGCCGCAGAGGGUGAGAGCCCCGUCUGGCUGGCCACCGAGCCUCUGUAAAGCUCCUUCGACGAGUCGAGUAGUUUGGGAAUGCUGCUCAAAAUGGGAGGUAUAUGUCUUCUAAAGCUAAAUAUUGGCCAGAGACCGAUAGCGCACAAGUAGAGUGAUCGAAAGAUGAAAAGCACCUUGAAAAGAGGGUUAAACAGUACGUGAAAUUGUUGAAAGGGAAGCGCUUGUGACCAGACUUGGGCGCGGCGGAUCAUCCGGGGUUCUCCCCGGUGCACUUCGCCGCGUUCAGGCCAGCAUCAGUUCGGCGCGGGGGAAAAAGGCUUCGGGAACGUGGCUCCUCCGGGAGUGUUAUAGCCCGUUGCACAAUACCCUGCGCUGGACUGAGGACCGCGCAUCUGCAAGGAUGCUGGCGUAAUGGUCACCAGCGACCCGUCUUGAACACAGGGACCAAACGA